rnacentral:rRNA from 1 species
AACGAACGCUGGCGGCAGGCUUAACACAUGCAAGUCGAACGAGAUCUUCGGAUCUAGUGGCAGACGGGUGAGGAACACGUGGGAACAUCCCUUUCAGUUCGGAAUAACGUUGGGAAACUAACGCUAAUACCGGAUACGUCCUUCGGGAGAAAGAUUUAUCGCUGAAAGAUUGGCCCGCGUCUGAUUAGCUAGUUGGUGAGGUAACGGCUCACCAAGGCUACGAUCAGUAGCUGAUCUGAGAGGAUGAUCAGCCACAUUGGGACUGAGACGCGGCCCAAACUCCUACGGGAGGCAGCAGUGGGGAAUAUUGGACAGUGGGCGCAAGCCUGAUCCAGCCAUGCCGCGUGAGUGAUGACGGCCUUCGGGUUGUAAAGCUCUUUUGUCCGGGAAGAUAAUGACUGUACCGGAAGAAUAAGCCCCGGCAAACUUCGUGCCAGCCGCCGCCGUAA